GAGAGCUUACAGUACAGUCAGCGAGAUGAGGCAGGUAUGAAGAUUCCAGUGCAUGCAAUGCAGUGUGUUAUAAAAGUCCCAUGACUACCAGAGGGAAUACAGAUGUAAAACUUAGGAGGAAAAGAAAUCACUCUGGAUGAGCCAGUCAGGCGACAGCCCUGUACUGUGUCUGAAAUUUUCCAUUUUUGUUGGGUGCUUUUUAUAUAUGCAAAAGGUAAUUUCCCCAUGAUUAGUGAUGAUUUGGUCAAUUCUUAUCACCUGCUGCUGUGUGCUUUGGACUUAGUUUAUGGAAAUGCACUUCAGUGUUCUAAUCGUAAAGAACUUGUGAACCCUAAUUUUAAAGGCCUAUCUGAAGAUUUUCAUGCUAAAGAUUCUAAACCUUCCUCUGACCCCCCUUGUAUCAUUGAGAAACUGUGUUCCUUACAUGAUGGCCUAGUUUUGGAAGCAAAGGGGAUAAAGGAACAUUUCUGGAAACCCUAUAUUAGGAAACUUUAUGAAAAAAAGCUCCUUAAGGGAAAAGAAGAAAAUCUCACUGGGUUUCUAGAACCUGGGAACUUUGGAGAGAGUUUAUGGAGUCUCGCUGUGUCGCCCAGGCUGGAAUGCAGUGGCAUGAUCUCGGCUCACUGCAACCUCUGCCUCCCGGGUUCAAGCGAUUCUUCUGCCUCAGCCUCCUGAAUAGCUGUGAAUACAGUAAAGCCAUCAAUAAGGCCUAUGAGGAGUAUGUUUUAUCUGUUGGGAAUUUAGAUGAGCGGAUAUUUCUUGGAGAGGAUGCUGAGGAGGAAAUUGGGACUCUCUCAAGGUGUCUGAACGCUGGUUCAGGAACAGAGACUGCUGAAAGGGUGCAGAUGAAAAACAUCUUACAGCAGCAUUUUGACAAGUCCAAAGCACUUAGAAUCUCCACACCACUAACUGGUGUUAGGUACAUUAAGGAGAAUAGCCCUUGUGUGACUCCAGUUUCUACAGCUACGCAUAGCUUGAGUCGUCUUCACACCAUGCUGACAGGCCUCAGGAAUGCACCAAGUGAGAAACUGGAACAGAUUCUCAGGACAUGUUCCAGAGAUCCAACCCAGGCUAUUGCUAACAGAUUGAAAGAAAUGUUUGAAAUAUAUUCUCAGCAUUUCCAGCCAGACGAGGAUUUCAGUAAUUGUGCUAAAGAAAUUGCCAGCAAACAUUUUCGUUUUGCGGAGAUGCUUUACUAUAAAGUAUUAGAAUCUGUUAUUGAGCAGGAACAAAAAAGACUAGGAGACAUGGAUUUAUCUGGUAUUCUGGAACAAGAUGCAUUCCACAGAUCUCUCUUGGCCUGCUGCCUUGAGGUCGUCACUUUUUCUUAUAAGCCUCCUGGGAAUUUUCCAUUUAUUACUGAAAUAUUUGAUGUGCCUCUUUAUCAUUUUUAUAAGGUGAUAGAAGUAUUCAUUAGAGCAGAAGAUGGCCUUUGUAGAGAGGUGGUAAAACACCUUAAUCAGAUUGAAGAACAGAUCUUAGAUCAUUUGGCAUGGAAACCAGAGUCUCCACUCUGGGAAAAAAUUAGAGACAAUGAAAACAGAGUUCCUACAUGUGAAGAGGUCAUGCCACCUCAGAACCUGGAAAGGGCAGAUGAAAUUUGCAUUGCUGGCUCCCCUUUGACUCCCAGAAGGGUGACUGAAGUUCGUGCUGAUACUGGAGGACUUGGAAGGAGCAUAACAUCUCCAACCACAUUAUACGAUAGGUACAGCUCCCCACCAGCCAGCACUACCAGAAGGCGGCUAUUUGUUGAGAAUGAUAGCCCCUCUGAUGGAGGGACAACUGGGCGCAUGCCCCCACAGCCCCUAGUCAAUGCUGUCCCUGUGCAGAAUGUAUCUGGGGAGACUGUUUCUGUCACACCAGUUCCUGGACAGACUUUGGUCACCAUGGCAACCGCCACUGUCACAGCCAACAAUGGGCAAACGGUAACCAUUCCUGUGCAAGGUAUUGCCAAUGAAAAUGGAGGGAUAACAUUCUUCCCUGUCCAAGUCAAUGUUGGGGGGCAGGCACAAGCUGUGACAGGCUCCAUCCAGCCCCUCAGUGCUCAGGCCCUGGCUGGAAGUCUGAGCUCUCAACAGGUGACAGGAACAACUUUGCAAGUCCCUGGUCAAGUGGCCAUUCAACAGAUUUCCCCAGGUGGCCAACAGCAGAAGCAAGGCCAGUCUGUAACCAGCAGUAGUAAUAGACCCAGGAAGACCAGCUCUUUAUCGCUUUUCUUUAGAAAGGUAUACCAUUUAGCAGCUGUCCGCCUUCGGGAUCUCUGUGCCAAACUAGAUAUUUCAGAUGAACUGAGGAAAAAAAUCUGGACCUGCUUUGAAUUCUCCAUAAUUCAGUGUCCUGAACUUAUGAUGGACAGACAUCUGGACCAGUUAUUAAUGUGUGCCAUUUAUGUGAUGGCAAAGGUCACAAAAGAAGAUAAGUCCUUCCAGAACAUUAUGCGUUGUUAUAGGACUCAGCCGCAGGCCCGGAGCCAGGUGUAUAGAAGUGUUUUGAUAAAAGGGAAAAGAAAAAGAAGAAAUUCUGGCAGCAGUGAUGGCAGAAGCCAUCAGAAUUCUCCAACAGAACUAAACAAAGAUAGAACCAGUAGAGACUCCAGUCCAGUUAUGAGGUCAAGCAGCACCUUGCCAGUUCCACAGCCCAGCAGUGCUCCUCCCACACCUACUCGCCUCACAGGUGCCAACAGUGACAUGGAAGAAGAGGAGAGGGGAGACCUCAUUCAGUUCUACAACAACAUCUACAUCAAACAGAUUAAGACAUUUGCCAUGAAGUACUCACAGGCGAAUAUGGAUGCUCCUCCACUCUCUCCCUAUCCAUUUGUAAGAACAGGCUCCCCUCGCCGAAUACAGUUGUCUCAAAAUCAUCCUGUCUACAUUUCCCCACAUAAAAAUGAAACAAUGCUUUCUCCUCGAGAAAAGAUUUUCUAUUACUUCAGCAACAGUCCUUCAAAGAGACUGAGAGAAAUUAAUAGUAUGAUACGCACAGGAGAAACUCCUACUAAAAAGAGAGGAAUUCUUUUGGAAGAUGGAAGUGAAUCACCUGCAAAAAGAAUUUGCCCAGAAAAUCAUUCUGCCUUAUUACGCCGUCUCCAAGAUGUAGCUAAUGACCGUGGUUCCCACUGAGGUUAGUCUCUUGUAUUGAAACUCUUCACAAAAUCUGUUUAGCAGCAGCCUUUAAUGCAUCUAGAUUAUGGAGCUUUUUUCCUUAAUCCAGCUGAUCAAUUACAGCCUGUUAGUAACACGAGGGGACAUUUUGGUGAGAAAUGGGACUUAACUCCUUCCAGUGUCCUUAGAACAUUUUAAUUCAUCCCAACUGUCUUUUUUUCCCUACCAUUCAGUGAUUACUGUCAAGGCUGCUUAGAAUCCAGACAUGGAUUUUUGACUCUGGCAAAGCUUUUAGAAAUACUGCAAGAAAAUGAUGUGUACCCAAACGUGAGCAUAGGAGGCUUCUGUUGACGUACUCCAACAGAAGAACUGUGUUUCAAGUUCAGUCCUACCUGUUUUGUGGUCAGCUGUAGUCCUCAUAAAAAGCAAAACAAAAAUUAGGUAUCUUGUCCUAAAACACCUGGUAGGAGUGUGUGAUUUUUGCAUUCCUGACAAAGGAGAGCACACCCAGGUUUGGAGGUCCUAGGUCAUUAGCCCUCGUCUCCCGUUCCCUUUGUGCACGUCUUCCCUCUCCCCAUUCGGUGUGGUGCAGUGUGAAAAGUCCUUGAUUGUUCGGGUGUGCAAUGUCUGAGUGAACCUGUAUAAGUGGAGGCACUUUAGGGCUGUAAAAUGCAUGAUUUUGUAACCCAGAUUUUGCUGUAUAUUUGUGAUAGCACUUUCUACAAUGUGAACUUUAUUAAAUACAAAACUUCCAGGCUAAACAUCCAAUAUUUUCUUUAAUGCUUUUAUACUUUUUUAAACUGUUAAAGCCCCUAUAGCCAUCUUUUGGGAAUGUUUUAAAUUCUUCAGUUUUUUGUUAUAUAGGGAUCAACCAGCUAAGAAAAGAUUUUAAAUCAAGUUGAAUUGAGGGGAUUAAUAUGAAAACUUAUGACCUCUUCCUUUAGGAGGGAGUUAUCUAAAAGAAAUGUCUAUUAAGGUGAUAUAUUUAAAAAUAUUUUUGGGUGUUCCUGGCAGUUUAAAAAAAUUGGUUGGAGAAUUUAGGUUUUUAUUAGUACCAUAGUACCAUUUAUACAAAUUAGAAAAUGUUAUUUAACAGCUGUUGAAUUAUCUAUACAUAUCUUUAUUAAUCACUAUUGGUCCAGCAGUUUUCAAGUCAAAUUAAUAAUCUUAUUAGGGAGAAAAUUCAAUUGUAAAUUGAAUCAGUAUAAACAAAGUUACUAGGUAACUUCAUAUUGCUGAGAGAAAUAUGGAACUUACACUGUUCAAUUAGAAUAGUGUUCUGCAAAAAUAUUUAUAAAACUUCUCAAGAUACUGCUACUGUAAUUUUAUAUGAAGAUAAGUGUAUUUUUCAAUAAAGCAUUUAUAAAUUA
rnacentral:sRNA from 1 species